rnacentral:rRNA from 1 species
GCCGUGGAGCGCGGUGGUCCCACCUGACCCCAUGCCGAACUCAGAAGUGAAACGCCGUAGCGCCGAUGGUAGUGUGGGGUCUCCCCAUGCGAGAGUAGGGAACUGCCAGGC